rnacentral:rRNA from 1 species
AUUGAACGCUGGCGGCAUGCCUAACACAUGCAAGUCGAACGAAGGCUUCGGCCUUAGUGGCGCACGGGUGCGUAACGCGUGGGAAUCUGCCCAAAGGUUCGGAAUAACUCGGGGAAACCCGUGCUAAUACCGGAUGAUGUCGCAAGACCAAAGAUUUUUCGCCUUUGGAUGAGCCCGCGUCGGAUUAGCUAGUUGGUGGGGUAAAGGCCUACCAAGGCGACGAUCCGUAGCUGGUCUGAGAGGAUGAUCAGCCACACUGGGACUGAGACACGGCCCAGACUCCUACGGGAGGCAGCAGUGGGGAAUAUUGGACAAUGGGCGAAAGCCUGAUCCAGCAAUGCCGCGUGAGUGAUGAAGGCCCUCGGGUCGUAAAGCUCUUUUACCCGGGAUGAUAAUGACAGUACCGGGAGAAUAAGCUCCGGCUAACUCCGUGCCAGCAGCCGCCGUAAUAC